CUGCAUCUUAAUAUUAUAAUGCGGCACCAAAAGCAAAACCCGAAGUCCCGGCUUGCAAGGCCCUAACAAGAAACACAUUGUGCACUUUCCCCCCCCCCUCUUUUUGGCCGAAGCCACGUUUGCGCGGAGGCUUCGACGCCGGGCGCCAAGUCCAUGACUUCAGUGGGGAGGAACCCGCCCUUCCCGCACCACGUGCGCCCUCGGCCCGGCGGCCACCCGCCGCCCUGUCCCGCCCGCCUGGUCAGGGGCUCGGCCGGACUCUGACAUGCGUCCUGUGCCCGUGGCCCUCUGGGCACUGCUCCUUCCUGAGCCGGGAGGCGGGCGCUGCCCGUCACCCCUGGCGCUGGUGGCACCCAGGCAGCGCCCGUGCGGGUCGUUCUAAUCUCUGCCCUCUCAGGUUUGCUGGUGGAGAGACUUUUGUUUUUAACAUAGUUUGACACCCUUCUCUUCCACAUCCCUGCCCACACGUUUUUAAGGCUUUCACCCCCAGAUUCUUCCCUGCUCCUCUAUGACAAUGUACAGACCUCCUCCUUCCCAAUUAGAGGGAAAUCGCAGGAGGGUUCUGUAAGCCCCCAGCCACUCUGUCUGCGGGGAGAGUUCAGGACCUAGGGCUGAGUCCUCAGGGAGGUGAGUGUUGGGGACCCUGACCUGUAGGGACUUCUCUGGAGGAGCAGCCCCUGGGCAUCUGUGGUCAGUUCUGUGGAGGUCCUGCCGUCUUCCCAGUGAAUUUUAUUUUAACCAUGCCUGCUUUCCCCAGAGUCUGUGUGAAGAACACAGAGACAUUCCAUUUCAAGCGAAAAACGGCAACAGGGUGUCCCUCUUUCAGGGUAGGUUAAACAUUCACAGUGGGUGGGAAUAACUAAUCCUAUACAAGCCUGGUCACAGCUCACCUGUCCUCUUUACUUUGACCCCAUCAGUUAGGAAAGGCAGACGCUGUCCCCAUUUUACUGAGGAAGAAACUGAGGCACAGAUGGAUGACAGAAUCCUCUGUGGGCCCAUACUCCCUAGAAUUCAUCAUCCCUGUGGUGAUGCAGAGGUGUGUGACCUGCACACCAGGUUGGUGCUGAAUACUUUCUUACCUUGAAAUUUGUUCCAGUCCUAAGGGCUGGAUUGCCCAGAGCCAGGAAUUUGUAAACACUUUGUUCUCACCUUUCUCAGAAGUUAACACUGAAUGACUGAGCUUCACCCUUUAUUAACAAAAGGUUAACUAGGAUCUGAGGACUUUUCAAACCUUCCCAUAUGUAAGAAUCACCUCCACACGCCAAAGCCUGGGGCCCACCUCUAGCAGUUCUGGUUCAGUGCAUUUGGUGAGCAGCCCAGCAAACAGCCCUUUCAACAAGCAUCUUGUGGAGAUGCUGAUGCAAGUAGUUCAGGGACCACAGCUGAGACACUUCAGUUGUGUUUUGUGAGCAACAUCGAUGGGACAAUGGAGCAUGUGCUGGGGGCUGGAAGCCUGGCCCAUAUGCGGUCCCACCUCCCUGCCUCCCUGGGACAAGGUCUCUGGUAGCUUCUGAGGUUGCUACUUUCGAAGGAUGCUCGCCACUGGACCAAGCUUCCCAGUGUUCAUGCUGUGUGUCAGCCCCUCCCAGACUGGACAUGGGCCAGCCCUGUGCACCCAGCAGAUUGCAGGGGACAUGAAGCUGUGUGACUUCCCAAGUUAGGUCAGAAGAAGCUUUUUAGUUUUCAUUUUGGCUUCUUGGCUUCUCUCUUACAAUCACCAUGGAAGAAAUCUGGACCUCUGUGACAUCACCGUGCUGUGAGGAAGUCCAAGUUCGCCAUGUGAAGAGGCCACACAGACAGGAAUAAGGGUGGGGCCGGCCCCAGUUUCCCCAGACAUCCCAGCUAAGCACUUGAUUGUGAGUUAAGAAGAUACCUUGGAUGUCCAGCCCAGAAAAGCCUUAAGAUGACCCCAUCCCAACCACCAACCGACAGCCGCUAUGUAAGAGGCCCCAAAGGAGACUGCCCACUGGAGUCCAAGCACCAAGACUGUGAGAGAAGAAAUUGUUGUCUGGAGCCGCUGAGUUUCAGAGUGGUCUGUUGCAUUGAUAACUGAAGGGGAGGGCAGAGUGAUUCGGAGUUUCUAAGUAUGAUCUUGUGCAUGCAUUGUAGUUAUAAUCCUUGAUAGCUUAUUUGGGUUUUUGUCCCCCUGAAAGUUUUAUAAGAACAAAUCAUUUAUAAUGCUUAAAAUAAACAUUCCCAUAUUCAACAAAAGUACCUUUAUUUUGAAAGAAAUACAUGUUUUAUUUGAUGUCCUAGUGUGUAGUACAUACUCAGGUAUAUAGCGUGGGUGUUUUUUCAAAGCAGUCAGAACCCCUACCAACUUUCCUCCAAGGUAUAGAAUUUAUAACCAUACGUGAUGAGUAUAUUUUUUGAACCCAAACCAAGUAGGAUAAAUGGCCUGACUGACUCCGGGGCCCUGUAGAGGAUGGGAGAGCUGAGCGAUUGAGGAGGGUAGCCAUGUGUGGACCACACAGCUUCCUAGUGAGGGAAUAAGAGCAUCUGGUGCUUCCAGAUACUGUAUCAUAGAAACAUCUCAGAGGCGUCACUUCAUGUCAUCAAGACUUUAAGGUAAUUUUGACACUUUUUCUUUGGGACAUCAAGAGUUUGAGUGUGUGGCGAUUAUGCUUUCUAGUUAGGACAAGGCUGUUUAUCCCAUUGCCUUGUUGAUUUGACUCCAGGGCCUCCUGCUAUACUGUUUACCCUGUGGAAGACACCGCUGGCGUGAAGACUGCGAAGGUUGACGACAGAAAAAGGGGGCUGGGAGCCCCGCAGGCAGAAGCUCUUGGCAGCUGCCAAAAAGCCCCCAUGACACUAUCCCAGUGUGGUCAUUUCUG
rnacentral:lncRNA from 1 species